UGAAGGCUUCUCAGUUUUUCUUUGUACUC
rnacentral:sRNA from 1 species